AUUGAACGCUGGCGGCAUGCCUUACACAUGCAAGUCGAACGGCAGCACGGGAGCUUGCUCCUGGUGGCGAGUGGCGAACGGGUGAGUAAUGCAUCGGAACGUGCCCUGAAGUGGGGGAUAACGUAGCGAAAGUUACGCUAAUACCGCAUAUUCUGUGAGCAGGAAAGCAGGGGGAUCUUCGGACCUUGCGCUUUUGGAGCGGCCGAUGUCGGAUUAGCUAGUUGGUGGGGUAAAGGCCCACCAAGGCGACGAUCCGUAGCGGGUCUGAGAGGAUGAUCCGCCACACUGGAACUGAGACACGGUCCAGACUCCUACGGGAGGCAGCAGUGGGGAAUUUUGGACAAUGGGCGCAAGCCUGAUCCAGCCAUGCCGCGUGAGUGAAGAAGGCCUC
rnacentral:rRNA from 1 species